AAUGUCUGUAGUCUUAACACUGUGCGUUCUGGUCCCAUGAGCUCCCACAAGCUAAGCAGGGUUGGAGUUGGUCAGUACUUGGACUGGAGACCUCCAACGGACAUUC
ensembl:rRNA 5S_rRNA 5S ribosomal RNA